rnacentral:rRNA from 1 species
ACGGGGUGCAGCAGGGGCGAAAACUUCGCAAUGUGCGAAAGCGCGACGAGGUUAAUCCGAGUGCCGCCCGCUGAGGGUGGCUUUUCUCAGGUGUAAAUGGCCUGAGGAAUAAGGGGAGGGAAAGCCUGGUGUCAGCCGCCGCGGUAAAACCAGCACCUCAAGUGGUCAGGAUGAUUAUUGGGCCUAAAGCAUCCGUAGCCUGUUCUGUAAGUUUCCGGUUAAAUCCAUUAGCUCAACUAAUGGGCCGCCGAAAAUACUGCAGAACUAGGGAGUGGGAGAGGUAGACGGUACUCGGUAGGAAGGGGUAAAAUCCUUUGAUCUAUUGAUGACCACCUGUGGCGAAGGCGGUCUACCAGAACACGUUCGACGGUGAGGGAUGAAAGCUGGGGGAGCAAACCGGAUUAGAUACCCGGGUAGUCCCAGCUGUAAACGAUGCAGACUCGGUGAUGCGCUGGCUUGUGGCCAGUGCAGUGCCGCAGGGAAGCCGUUAAGUUUGCCGCCUGGGAAGUACGUACGCAAGUAUGAAACUUAAAGGAAUUGGCGGGGGAGCAC